rnacentral:rRNA from 1 species
GGGUUGUGAGGUUAAGCGACUAAGCGUACACGGUGGAUGCCUAGGCAGUCAGAGGCGAUGAAGGGCGUGCUAAUCUGCGAUAAGCGUCGGUAAGCUGAUAUGAAGCGUUAUACCCGACGAUACCCGAAUGGGGAAACCCAGUGUGUUUCGACACACUAUCAUUAUGUGAAUACAUAGCGUAAUGAGGCGAACCGGGGGAACUGAAACAUCUCAGUACCCCGAGGAAAAGAAAUCAACCGAGAUUCCCCUAGUAGCGGCGAGCGAACGGGGAGGAGCCCAGAACCUGAAUCAGUUUGUGUGUUAGUGGAAGCGUCUGGAAAGUCGCACAGUAAAGGGUGAUAGUCCCGUACACAAAAAUGCACAAAUUGUGAGUUCGAUGAGUAGGGCGGGACACGUGACAUCCUGUCUGAAUAUGGGGGGACCAUCCUCCAAGGCUAAAUACUCCUGACUGACCGAUAGUGAACCAGUACCGUGAGGGAAAGGCGAAAAGAACCCCGGCGAGGGGAGUGAAAUAGAACCUGAAACCGUGUACGUACAAGCAGUGGGAGCCUUGAUUAAUCAGGGUGACUGCGUACCUUUUGUAUAAUGGGUCAGCGACUUAUAUUCUGUAGCAAGGUUAACCGUAUAGGGGAGCCGUAGGGAAACCGAGUCUUAACUGGGCGUUAAGUUGCAGGGUAUAGACCCGAAACCCGGUGAUCUAGCCAUGGGCAGGUUGAAGGUUGGGUAACACUAACUGGAGGACCGAACCGACUAAUGUUGAAAAAUUAGCGGAUGACUUGUGGCUGGGGGUGAAAGGCCAAUCAAACCGGGAGAUAGCUGGUUCUCCCCGAAAGCUAUUUAGGUAGCGCCUCGUGAAUUCAUCUUCGGGGGUAGAGCACUGUUUCGGCUAGGGGGUCAUCCCGACUUACCAACCCGAUGCAAACUACGAAUACCGAAGAAUGUUAUCACGGGAGACACACGGCGGGUGCUAACGUUCGUCGUGAAGAGGGAAACAACCCAGACCGCCAGCUAAGGUCCCAAAGUCAUGGUUAAGUGGGAAACGAUGUGGGAAGGCACAGACAGCCAGGAUGUUGGCUUAGAAGCAGCCAUCAUUUAAAGAAAGCGUAAUAGCUCACUGGUCGAGUCGGCCUGCGCGGAAGAUGUAACGGGGCUAAACCAUGCACCGAAGCUGCGGCAGCGACACUUAGGUGUUGUUGGGUAGGGGAGCGUUCUGUAAGCCGUCGAAGGUGGCCUGUGAGGGCCGCUGGAGGUAUCAGAAGUGCGAAUGCUGACAUAAGUAACGAUAAUGCGGGUGAAAAACCCGCACGCCGGAAGACCAAGGGUUCCUGUCCAACGUUAAUCGGGGCAGGGUGAGUCGACCCCUAAGGCGAGGCUGAAAAGCGUAGUCGAUGGGAAACAGGUUAAUAUUCCUGUACUCGGUGUUACUGCGAAGGGGGGACGGAGAAAGCUAGGUUAUCCGGGCGACGGUUGUCCCGGUUUAAGCGUGAAGGUGGAUGACUUUGGUAAAUCCGGGUCGUUGUUAACACUGAGGCGUGAUGACGAGUCACUACGGUGAUGAAGUAACCGAUGCUACGCUUCCAGGAAAAGCCUCUAAGCUCCAGGUAACAUCAAAUCGUACCCCAAACCGACACAGGUGGUCAGGUAGAGAAUACUCAGGCGCUUGAGAGAACUCGGGUGAAGGAACUAGGCAAAAUGGUGCCGUAACUUCGGGAGAAGGCACGCUGAUGGUAGGUGAAGUGACUUGCUCACGGAGCUGAAAUCAGUCGAAGAUACCAGCUGGCUGCAACUGUUUAAUAAAAACACAGCACUGUGCAAACACGAAAGUGGACGUAUACGGUGUGACGCCUGCCCGGUGCCGGAAGGUUAAUUGAUGGGGUCAGCCGCAAGGCGAAGCUCUUGAUCGAAGCCCCGGUAAACGGCGGCCGUAACUAUAACGGUCCUAAGGUAGCGAAAUUCCUUGUCGGGUAAGUUCCGACCUGCACGAAUGGCGUAAUGAUGGCCAGGCUGUCUCCACCCGAGACUCAGUGAAAUUGAACUCGCUGUGAAGAUGCAGUGUACCCGCGGCAAGACGGAAAGACCCCGUGAACCUUUACUAUAGCUUGACACUGAACCUUGAGCCUUGAUGUGUAGGAUAGGUGGGAGGCUUUGAAGCGUGGACGCCAGUCUGCGUGGAGCCAACCUUGAAAUACCACCCUUUAAUGUUUGAUGUUCUAACGUGGGCCCGUAAUCCGGGUUGCGGACAGUGUCUGGUGGGUAGUUUGACUGGGGCGGUCUCCUCCCAAAGCGUAACGGAGGAGCACGAAGGUUAGCUAAUCCUGGUCGGACAUCAGGAGGUUAGUGCAAAGGCAUAAGCUAGCUUGACUGCGAGAGUGACAGCUCGAGCAGGUGCGAAAGCAGGUCUUAGUGAUCCGGUGGUUCUGAAUGGAAGGGCCAUCGCUCAACGGAUAAAAGGUACUCCGGGGAUAACAGGCUGAUACCGCCCAAGAGUUCAUAUCGACGGCGGUGUUUGGCACCUCGAUGUCGGCUCAUCACAUCCUGGGGCUGAAGUAGGUCCCAAGGGUAUGGCUGUUCGCCAUUUAAAGUGGUACGCGAGCUGGGUUUAGAACGUCGUGAGACAGUUCGGUCCCUAUCUGCCGUGGGCGUUGGAAGAUUGAGAGGGGUUGCUCCUAGUACGAGAGGACCGGAGUGAACGCACCACUGGUGUUCGGGUUGUGAUGCCAAUUGCAUUGCCCGGUAGCUAAGUGCGGAAGAGAUAACCGCUGAAAGCAUCUAAGCGGGAAACUUGCCUCGAGAUGAGUCUUCCCUGGGCACUAGAUGCCCCUGAAGGGCCGUUGAAGACGACGACGUAGAUAGGCUGGGUGUGUAAGCGUAGCGAUACGUUGAGCUAACCAGUACUAAUGACCCGAGAGGCUUAACCUUACAACACCGAAGGUGUUU